rnacentral:rRNA from 1 species
UACGGAGGAUGCAAGCGUUAUCCGGAAUGAUUGGGCGUAAAGCGUCCGCAGGUGGCAAUGUAAGUCUGCUGUCAAAGCGUUUGGCUCAACCAGAUAAAGGCAGUGGAAACUACAUAGCUAGAGAAGGUAGGGGUAGAGGGAAUUCCUGGUGUAGCGGUGAAAUGCGUAGAGAUCAGGAAGAACACCGGUGGCGAAAGCGCUCUGCUGGACCUUAACUGACACUGAGGGACGAAAGCUAGGGGAGCGAAUGGG